rnacentral:rRNA from 1 species
GAUGAACGCUGGCGGCGUGCCUAAUACAUGCAAGUCGAGCGAACAGACGAGGAGCUUGCUCCUCUGACGUUAGCGGCGGACGGGUGAGUAACACGUGGAUAACCUACCUAUAAGACUGGGAUAACUUCGGGAAACCGGAGCUAAUACCGGAUGAUAUAUUGAACCGCAUGGUUCAAUAGUGAAAGACGGUUUUGCUGUCACUUAUAGAUGGAUCCGCGCCGCAUUAGCUAGUUGGUAAGGUAACGGCUUACCAAGGCAACGAUGCGUAGCCGACCUGAGAGGGUGAUCGGGCAAACUGGAACUGAGACACGGUCCAGACUCCUACGGGAGGCAGCAGUAGGGAAUCUUCCGCAAUGGGCGAAAGCUUGACGGAGCAACGCCGCGUGAGUGAUGAAGGUCUUCGGAUCGUAAAACUCUGUUAUUAGGGAAGAACAAAUGUGUAAGUAACUAUGCAAGUCUUGACGGUACCUAAUCAGAAAGCCACGGCUAACUACGUG